rnacentral:rRNA from 1 species
GUGGGGAAUCUUGCGCAAUGGGCGAAAGCCUGACGCAGCCAUGCCGCGUGAAUGAUGAAGGUCUUAGGAUUGUAAAAUUCUUUCACCGGGGACGAUAAUGACGGUACCCGGAGAAGAAGCCCCGGCUAACUUCGUGCCAGCAGCCGCGGUAAUACGAAGGGGGCUAGCGUUGCUCGGAAUUACUGGGCGUAAAGGGCGCGUAGGCGGACAGUUUAGUCAGAGGUGAAAGCCCAGGGCUCAACCUUGGAAUUGCCUUUGAUACUGGCUGUCUUGAGUACGGGGGAGGUGAGUGGAACUCCGAGUGUAGAGGUGAAAUUCGUAGAUAUUCGGAAGAACACCAGUGGCGAAGGCGACUCACUGGCCCGUUACUGACGCUGAGGCGCGAAAGCGUGGGGAGCAAACAGGAUUAGAUACCCGGGUAGUCC